UAUCUAAACUCAAAUUGCCAAAAGAUAAAAAAUCGUUAUCAUUUAUAACAGUGGUAUCAUCUAAAAGAUUAGAAGCCACAUUUGCAAAGUGCAGAUUAAACGCUUCAGCAAUUUCUUUGUUAUGAUGGAAAAGAGAUCCAUUAAAUAACAAUUCCUUCACUUGAACGGGAUCAUUUGUAUCACCAGAAAGAGAUUUGAGUAUUUUCCAAAGCUUCUUAGGAUUUUUACGAUUUUCAAUAAGAGAUGACUUGAAAUAGACUUGUUUGGCUUUAAAUACUGAAUGAUUAUUUAUUUUAUUUCUAAUUUUUCUAAUUGACUCCCAGUCUUCUUGGGAACGAGAGGACUUCGCUUUUUUGAGAAGCAAAUCUCUUUUUCUCAUCAUUGAAGAUAUGUCAUCAGUAAGCCAUUUAAGCUUAUUCACCUUUUUAAUGCGCUUAGAAAUUAAUGGGGCAUGUUGAUCAAGUAUAUUAUUGAAGAGAGAGUACCACAUAAUUACAAAAUCCUCAAUAUCAUCGAAGAUAAAUGAUGUAUCCCAAGGAACAUUUAGCAAAGAACUCCGAGACUUUUCUUUAUCAAAGUUUUUCAUAUCGCGAUAAGCCAUAACAGUAUGCGUUUGCAUAAAUUUCCCACAAAAUUUUUUAUAACGACACAAGCAACAUACAGGUAAAUGAUCAGAAAGAAAGAUAUCAGCAGUCGAGCAAUGAGAUAAAAAUUCGGGUCUAUUUGACCAAAUAUGAUCGAGUACUUUACCACUGACUGGACGUGUAGCAUCGAUAAUAUGUUGUUGAAAAGAUAAGGAUAACAAACACGUAACCAAGCGAUGAUGCUUGGAAUAAGUGUCAAGAUAAUCGAUAUUAAAGUCCCCAAGGAUUAACGUUUCUUUACCUUGCAUGGAAGCAUUUUCGAUAUUCAUACCCAAUUGAACAUCGUAAUUUUGGUAGGAGUUAGGUGGGCGAUAAAUGCCACCUAUAAUGAGACUUCUCUUCGACUUAAAUGGGCACAAUUCCAUCCAUAAAACUUCCAACUCGAUUGUUUCCAAGUCAUAUCUUCUUUUAGCAAUUAAAUCACGAUUAACAUAUAUAGCAAUACCACCACCAUUCAAAGUUUUCGAAGUACUAUUCCGAUUCCUUAUAUAUAAGUCAAAGCCAGGUAUUAUAUUAAACAAUUCAGUAGAGAUUUGCGAAUUCCAAAACGUUUCAUUUAUAAUCAAAAUAUCCAGACGUUUCUCGUUAUAGUCAUGGCCAAGGAUUUCAAUUUGCACUUGUUCAAACUUUGUUUCAUUCAAACGGUUUAUAUUCCAUUGGCCUAUCCGAAGGCCACGACUUGGUAGACUAAAACAACUAUUUCCUUGCGGGAAGACACAAGAUUUUGUGCAGGAACCGGACCUGGAUUUAAAUGAAUGUCGCCAUUCAAUGCCAGUAAUAAAUAGCGAUGAAGCAAAGAUAAUAUUACAGACGCCAUUGCUUGUUUAGACAUCACCACAAUUGCACAGCCAAAUUGAAAGUUACUUGAUUUACUUGAUUUGUUCGGCGUAAGCAGCGACACUUUAUUCUUCAUAUUUAUAAAACAGGUUUGAAAAUGCGAUUUUGCCACAUAAAAAUAGUUUAAACAACGAUCACUACUGUUAUCCAGUAUUUGAUGAAUAAAAAUAUCUUUAAAAAUUAAACACCAAAUCAAAAUAAAUAAAACUGAGGUGUAACUACACGAAACACGUCUAGUCGCCAUAUUGGAGAUACAUUGUUUCUGCUAGGAUAUAUCUAUUGGACAAACAGUGAAAUGCUUAAAUUGCUCAGUGCAGAUUCCAAUGAAUUCAAUCCGGAAUCAUAUGAAAACUUGAGGCAGUUCAAUGAAGAAGAUAGAUUAAUAUCAUGAUGAACAUCGACAUUUAAAAGUUCUUUUGCGUUUGAGAUUAACUGCAGAACAGCCUCUUCAAGCUCGAACACUUCAGCAAAUCGCAACGUAGUAUGGUAAAGAGAAUCAAUACGAAAAACGCAAAAAUCCCGAUCUGGACUUCCUUCGAGGGUUGUAGACCAUUGAGUUCUAUAAAACCUGGAGGGGAAAUGUCAAAGUGCUGAAGAACAUUCAUCUGAUGAUAAGUAUUAAAUCUUUUCCAUUUGCCAAAAUCAUUUAACGCUUGGCUGAAUCCCGGCUACCCGGGAUCAUGUAAACAGCCCCUAAAUUUUCUCCUAUUGUAACUGAACACCUGUAUAUAUAUAUAUAUACAAACCGUACGUCCUGUGUCCCAAGUGCAGGAGUCACCAUUUUAAUAUGGUGAUAGCCGUGAUGGCACAUUGUAUAUACACUUUGUUUAUAUAAAAACUAUGUAUAUAUAUGUACAAUUAACUGGGAACUUGUAACUAUGUCAUUUUUUCUGAUGAUGUUUUUAAAUAAAACCAAAAUAUUGCAGCGUAA